rnacentral:rRNA from 1 species
AUGAGAGCCCAGCUCGCUCUAGCGCUUCUUCUCUCCCUCACGGUUGCCUCCACCAGCCCCCUCGCUAUCGCCGACGAUCUUGACUAUGAUGGUGGAGUGAAGAAAUCUGAUGCCGCCUCGGAUGUCUCCACCAGCGCUGAGACAAAACCCGAGGCCGACUCCUAUGUCCCCGCCAGCGCUGAGAAGAAACCAGAAGCCGUCGCAGCCAGCGCCGAGAAUAAACCCGAAGCUGCCUCUGAUGUCUCUACCAGCGCUGAGAAGAAACCCGAGGCCGACUCCUACAUCUCUGCCAGCACCAAGAAGAAACCUGAAGCCGCCUCUAACGUCUCCGCCAGCGCUGAAAAGAAGCACGAGGCUGCCUCCGACAUCUCUGCCAACGCAAAGAAGAAACCAGAGGCUGACUCCUACGUCUCCGCUAGCGUUGAAAAGAAAUCCGAAGCCGACUCCGCCAGUGCCGAGAAGAAACCUGAAGCCGCCUCCGAUGUCUCCGCCACCGCUGAGAAGAAACCUGAGGCCGACUCCUACGUCUCUGCCAAUGCUGAGAAGAAACCCGAAGCCGUCUCCGCCAGUGCCGAGAAGGAACCCGAAGCCGCCUCUGACGUCUCCGCCAGCGCUGAGAAGGAACUUGAGGCCGCCACUGACGCCUCUGCUGUCCCUGAGAAGAAACCUGAAGCCGUCUCUGAUGUCUCCGCUAGCGCAGAGAAGAAACCCGAAGUCGUCGCCGACUACGCCGGUGCUAAGAAGAAACCUGAUGUCGGCCCCGAUAAUGUUGCUGCAGAGAAGAAUUCGGUAAGCUCCUCUGGAUAUGCCGGCAUGGAGAAGAAACCCGAAGGUGCCACCAAGGCCGCCGGGGAGAAGAAAUCCGAGAUUGCCUCCAAGAAGAAAUCCAAAAAAAAGAGCGAGCUCUCCCAGCCUUCCACCACCGAGAAGAAACCGAAAGGGAAAAACGACCAUGGUGCCGAGAAGAAGUCCAAAGGCAAGAAGGACGCCUCUGGAUACACUGGUGCGGAGAAGAAACAAAAAGCAAAAGUAGAUUCCCCCAAGAAGGUUGGGGUCGAGAAGAAACCGGAGAUGCCAAAGAAGGAAGAGCCUAAGAAGAAUGACAAGACCAAGUCGUUGGCGCCGGCCACAACUGAUGCUUACGUCGCACCGAAGGAAGAAAUGAAGAAGCCAGAAGCUGCCACGCCCGAUACCUACGCUGCACCAAAGGUGGAAUCAAAGAAAGAGGAGUCCAAGAAGGAUAAGCUAAAGAAGGUGGAGGUCAUGCCCAUCACACCUGACACCUACACCAAGCCAACGGAGGAGCCAAAUAAGGAGGAGCCAAAGAAGGAAGAGCCGAAGGAGGAGAUAGCGACCAACUCACCUGACACCUACACUGAGCCAAAGAAGGAGGAGCCAAAGGAGGAGCCCAAGAAGGAGGAGAUCGCGGCCAGCUUACCUGACACCUACACCGCGGCAAAGGAGGAGCUGAAGAAGGAGGAACCAAAGAAGGAGGAGCCAAAGGUACCAGUAGCCGACACCACCGAUAGCUAUGCCGCGCCACAGAAGGCCCAACCGGAGACGUCGGUGGCUGCAACAUCUAAUAGCUACACCGUGUCAAAGAAUGCUCAGCCAGAGACAUUGAUAGCUAGCACAACCGACACCUAUGCUGCGCCAAAGACUACCAAGCCGGAGACGGAGGCAGCCAGCACAACCGACAGUUAUGCUGCGCCGAAGACUUCCCAGCCAGAGACACCAGCGGCCGAAACAACUGAUGCCUAUGCCGCGCCGAGACCGAGGCUGUGGAACAAGAAGAUUGGCCAUCUCCCCCUGCCGCACUAA